rnacentral:rRNA from 1 species
CCUACGGGGUGCAGCAGUCGAGAAUCAUUCGCAAUGGGCGAAAGCCUGACGAUGCGACGCCGCGUGGGCGAAGAAGACUUUCGGGUUGUAAAGCCCUGUCAGGCAAGAAGAAGUCUGCCUUAGGCAGAUGACGGUAUUGCCAGAGGAAGCUCCGGCCAACUACGUGCCAGCAGCCGCGGUAAUACGUAGGGAGCAAGCGUUGUUCGGAAUUACUGGGUGUAAAGGGCGUGUAGGCGGUUGCCUAAGUUGGAUGUGGAAUCUUCCAGCUCAACUGGAAAAUUGCAUUCAAAACUGGGCGACUUGAGUACAGGAGAGGAAAACGGAAUUUCCAGUGUAGCGGUGAAAUGCGUAGAUACUGGAAGGAACACCGGUGGCGAAGGCGGUUUCCUGGCUUGUUUCUGACACUGAGGCACCAAAGCUAGGGGAGCGAUCGGGAUUAGAUACCCCGGUAGUCC